rnacentral:rRNA from 1 species
GGAAGGUGGAAGGUCGUAACAAGGUUUCCGUAGGUGAACUGGCCGGAAGGACAUUA